UACAGAGACCCCGAGCAUUAUCCGGAUUUAUUGGGCGUAAAGAGCGUGUAGGCGGCCAUGUAGGUCCGGUGUGAAAACUCGAGGCUUAACCUCGAGAUGUCAUCGGAAACCAUUUGGCUAGAGUCCGGAAGAGGAGAGUGGAAUUCCUGGUGUAGCGGUGAAAUGCGCAGAUAUCAGGAAGAACACCAAUGGCGAAAGCAGCUCUCUGGGACGGUACUGACGCUGAGACGCGAAAGCGUGGGGAGCGAACAGG
rnacentral:rRNA from 1 species